AUGAACUAAAUAUAAAUUAAUGUUAAACUUGGAAAUGGUGGUGUAUAUGAGAGCAUGUCCAUUGCACGGACUUUGCAAGUUUCUUAAGAGAAUUCCAAUGAAAAGAAGCAAAAAGUUAAAUAAGAAUUGUGUAAUUAACGAAGGUGCGAACCUUGUUUAAGGUGUUUUUGAGUGUGUAAGGUGCGCUGACGUGGCAUUAUUUCAUUGGAUGACAUAUUAAACAAAACAUGUUUUUUUUUUCUUUUCUCGUGU
rnacentral:sRNA from 1 species